rnacentral:rRNA from 1 species
UACGUAGGGUGCGAGCGUUGUUCGGAAUUACUGGGCGUAAAGGGCGCGUAGGCGGGAUGGCAAGUCGGUCGUGAAAUCCCUCGGCUCAACUGAGGAUCGUCGAUCGAUACUGCCGUUCUUGAGGAUUGCAGAGGAGACUGGAAUUCCCGGUGUAGCGGUGAAAUGUGUAGAGAUCGGGAGGAACACCGGUGGCGAAGGCGGGUCUCUGGGCAAUUCCUGACGCUGAGGCGCGAAAGCGUGGGGAGCAAACGGG